GCGACCGUAAUUCAGUGGUAGAAUGCGAGCUUCCCAAGCUUGAUAUGUGGGUUCGAUUCCCAUCGGUCGCU
rfam:Deltaproteobacteria bacterium RIFCSPLOWO2_02_FTLL_47_10 rifcsplowo2_02_scaffold_23184, whole genome shotgun sequence.